rnacentral:rRNA from 1 species
AUGACGGUACCUUACCAGAAAGCCACGGCUAACUAUGUGCCAGCAGCCGCGGUAAUACAUAGGUGGCAAGCGUUAUCCGGAUUUAUUGGGCGUAAAGGGUGCGUAGACGGUUUUGCAAGUCUGAGGUUAAAUUUAGGAGCUCAACUCCUAAUCGCCUUGGAAACUACAAGACUAGAGUAUAGGAGAGGUUAGUGGAAUUCCAUGUGUAGCGGUGGAAUGUGUAGAUAUAUGGAGGAACACCAAUGGCGAAGGCAGCUAACUGGCCUAUUACUGACGUUGAGGCACGAAAGCGUGGGGAGCAAAUAGGAUUAGAUACCCUAGUAGUCCACGCUGUAAACGAUGAAUACUAAGUGUUGCCAAAAAGGCAGUGCUGUAGCUAACGCAUUAAGUAUUCCGCCUGAGUAGUAUGCUCGCAAGAGUGAAACUUAAAGGAAUUGACGGGGACCCGCACAAGCGGUGGAGCAUGUGGUUUAAUUCGAAGCAACGCGAAGAACCUUACCAGGCCUUGACAUACCUUGCAAAGCUAUAGAGAUAUAGUGGAGGUUAACAAGGAUACAGGUGGUGCAUGGUUGUCGUCAGUUCGUGUCGUGAGAUGUUUGGUUAAGUCCAGCAACGAACGCAACCCCUGUCCUUAGUUGCCAGCAUUAAGUUGGGGACUCUAGGGAGACUGCUAGUGUAAGCUAGAGGAAGGUGGGGAUGACGUCAAAUCAUCAUGCCCCUUAUGGCCUGGGCUACACACGUGCUACAAUGGCUGAUACAAAGAGUCGCAAAAUCGCAAGAUCGAGCUAAUCUCAAAAAGUCAGUCUCAGUCCGGAUUGAAGUCUGAAACUCGACUUCAUGAAGUCGGAAUCGCUAGUAAUCGCGAAUCAGCAAUGUCGCGGUGAAUACGUUCUCGGGUCUUGUACACACCGCCCGUCAAAGCAUGAGAGUCGUCAAUGCCAGAAGUUGGUGUCCUAACCGCAAGGAGGGAGCUACCC